UACGUAGGGUGCGAGCGUUAAUCGGAAUUACUGGGCGUAAAGCGUGCGUAGGCGGUUCGUUAAGUUCGUUGUGAAAGCCCCGGGCUCAACCUGGGAACUGCAAUGGAAACUGGCGGGCUUGAGUGUGGCAGAGGGGGGUGGAAUUCCGCGUGUAGCAGUGAAAUGCGUAGAGAUGCGGAGGAACACCGAUGGCGAAGGCAAUCCCCUGGGCCUGCACUGACGCUCAUGCACGAAAGCGUGGGGAGCAAACAGG
rnacentral:rRNA from 1 species